GACGAACGCUGGCGGCGUGCUUAACACAUGCCAGUCGAACGGAAAGGCCCUGCUUUUGUGGGGUGCUCGAGUGGCGAACGGGUGAGUAACACGUGAGUAACCUGCCCUUGACUUUGGGAUAACUUCAGGAAACUGGGGCUAAUACCGGAUAGGAGCUCCUGCUGCAUGGUGGGGGUUGGAAAGUUUCGGCGGUUGGGGAUGGACUCGCGGCUUAUCAGCUUGUUGGUGGGGUAGUGGCUUACCAAGGCUUUGACGGGUAGCCGGCCUGAGAGGGUGACUGGCCACAUUGGGACUGAGAUACGGCCCAGACUCCUACGGGAGGCAGCAGUGGGGAAUAUUGCACAAUGGGCGGAAGCCUGAUGCAGCAACGCCGCGUGCGGGAUGACGGCCUUCGGGUUGUAAACCGCUUUCGCCUGUGACGAAGCGUGAGUGACGGUAAUGGGUAAAGAAGCACCGGCUAACUACGUG
rnacentral:rRNA from 1 species